rnacentral:rRNA from 1 species
CCUACGGGAGGCAGCAGUCGAGAAUCAUUCACAAUGGGGGAAACCCUGAUGGUGCGACGCCGCGUGGGGGAAUGAAGGUCUUCGGAUUGUAAACCCCUGUCAUGUGGGAGCAAAUUAAAAAGAUAGUACCACAAGAGGAAGAGACGGCUAACUCUGUGCCAGCAGCCGCGGUAAUACAGAGGUCUCAAGCGUUGUUCGGAAUCACUGGGCGUAAAGCGUGCGUAGGCUGUUUCGUAAGUCGUGUGUGAAAGGCGCGGGCUCAACCCGCGGACGGCACAUGAUACUGCGAGACUAGAGUAGUGGAGGGGGAACCGGAAUUCUCGGUGUAGCAGUGAAAUGCGUAGAUAGCGAGAGGAACACUCGUGGCGAAGGCGGGUUCCUGGACAUUAACUGACGCUGAGGCACGAAGGCCAGGGGAGCGAAAGGGAUUAGAUACCCCAGUAGUC